AUGAUGUUUGAGCAUGUACUUUUUUUGAGAGUCUAUUUAUUUUCGAUUGGUAUCUAUGGAUUGAUCACAAGCCGAAACAUGGUUAGAGCUCUAAUAUGUCUUAAACUUAUACUAAAUUCAAUUAAUCUAAAUCUCGUAACAUUUUCUAAUCUAUUUGAUAGUCGCCAAUUAAAAGAAGAUAUUUUCGCAAUUUUUGUUAUAGCCCUUGCGGCUGCUGAAGCCGCUAUUGGACUAUCCAUUCUUCCUUCCACCCAUCGUAAUAGGAAAUCCACUCGUAUCAAUCAAUCUAAUCUAUAA
rnacentral:rRNA from 1 species